rnacentral:rRNA from 1 species
UACGUAGGGACCAAGCGUUGUUCGGAUUUACUGGGCGUAAAGGGCGCGUAGGCGGCAAUUCAAGUCAUCUGUGAAAUCUCCGGGCUUAACUCGGAAUGGUCAGGUGAUACUGCUUUGCUAGAGUGCAGAAGGGGCAAUCGGAAUUCUUGGUGUAGCGGUGAAAUGCGUAGAUAUCAAGAGGAACACCUGAGGUGAAGACGGGUUGCUGGGCUGACACUGACGCUGAGGCGCGAAAGCUAGGGGAACAAACGGG